UACGUAGGGUGCAAGCGUUGUCCGGAAUUAUUGGGCGUAAAGAGUUCGUAGGCGGUUUGUCGCGUCCGUUGUGAAAGCUUGGGGCUCAACCCCAAGUCUGCAGUGGAUACGGGCAGACUAGAGUCAGGUAGGGGAGAACGGAAUUCCUGGAUGUAGCGGUGGAAUGACGCAGAGUAUCAGGAGGAACACCGGUGGCGAAGGCAGGUCUCUGGGCCACUACUGACGCUGAGAAGCGAAAGCAUGGGGAGCGAACAGG
rnacentral:rRNA from 1 species